CCUACGGGUGGCAGCAGUGGGGGAUAUUGCACAAUGGGGGAAACCCUGAUGCAGCGACGCCGCGUGGGUGAAGAAGGGCCUCGGGGCGUAAAGCCCUGUCAGCAGGGAAGAAAAUGACGGUACCUGAAGAAGAAGCCGCGGAUAACGACGUGCCAGCAGCCGCGGGAAGACGUAGGGGGCGAGCGUUAUCCGGAUUUACUGGGCGUAAAGGGGGCGGAGGCGGGGUUGGAAGCCAGGCGGGAAAGCCCGGGGCCCAACUCCGGGCCUGCCUUUGGAACUGGCUGGCUAGAGUGCAGGAGAGGCAGGCGGACUUCCUGGUGUAGCGGUGAAAUGCGUAGAUAUCAGGAGGAACCCCGGUGGCGAAGGCGGCCUGCUGGACUGCAACUGACGUUGAGGCCCGAAAGCGUGGGGAGCAAACAGGAUUAGAUACCCGAGUAGUC
rnacentral:rRNA from 1 species